CCUGGUUGACUGCAUGCCAGUAGCAUAUGCUGGUCUCAAGUUUAAGCCUAGCAUGAUAUUAAGUCCACACGGCUGGAAAAGUGAAACUGCGAAUGGCUCAUUAACCAUCAGUUAUGGUUUCCUUUGAUCGUCACCGCUACUUGGCAUAACUUGUGCAAUUAUAGAGCUGACAUACAUGCAAACGAGCGUGACUCCGGGGAUGCGUGCAUUUAUCAGACUAAACUCCGCGGCGGGGCAGUCGCCGCGUUGGCGGCCCCCGGCCUGUUUGGUGACUCUAGAUAAACCUGGGGCCGAUUCGCUCGCCUCGCGGCGGCGGACUCAUUCGAAUGUCUGGCACUAUCACACUUUCGAUGGUACUCUAGUGGCCUCACCAUUGGUGACACGGGUAACGGGGGAAUCAGGGUUCGAUUCGGAGAGGGGCCUGAGAACAUGGCUUACCACACUCCAGGAAUGCAGCAGGCGCGCAAAUUACCACUUCACGGACUCUGGAGGUGUGACGAAAAAUUAACAAUACAGGACUUCUUGUCGAGGCCUGUUAAUUGGAUGAAGUGUUACUCUUAAAUCCUAUUGGCCAGUACCAAUUGGAGGCAAGUCUGGUGCCAGCAGCCGCCGGGUAAUUCCAGUCAUAGCGAUCUAAGUGUGCAGUUAAAAAGCUCGUAGUUGGAUAUCUGGGGCCGGCUGACGGUCCGAAGAAAGGCGUGCACCGACUGGUCCGGCCCCUGCCUCGGCGCCCCCUCGAUGCUCUUUGGUUGAUGUCUUGCGGGGUUCGAAGCGUUUACUUUGAAAAAAUUUAGAGGUGUUCAAAGCAGGGCCCAGUUUGCACAACGAAUACUGCAGCUAGAAAUAAUGGAAUAGAGACUCCGGUUCUAAUUUUGUGGGUUUUCUCAAUGGACUGGGGCCUAUGAUUAAGAGGGACGGCCGGGGCGCAUUCGUAUUGCGCACGCUAGAGGUGAAAAUUCUUUGGACCGGCGCAAAGACGGGACGAAAACGAAAGCAUUUGCCAAGAAUGUUUUCAUUAAUCAAGAACGAAAAGUCGGAGGUCGGAUGCUUCGAGACCGAUCAGAUACCGUGUAGUUUCCGACCCAUAAACGAUGCGACUAGCGAUCCGGCGGCGUUAUUCCAUGACCCGCCGGGGAGCUACCCGGGAACCAAAAGUCUUUGGGUUCGGGGGGAGUAUGGUGCAAGCUGAAACUUAAAGGAAUUGACGGAAAGGGCACCACCAGGAGUGGAAGCCUGCGGCUUGUAAGUUUGACUCAACACGGAACCUCACCCGGCCCGGACACGGAAAGGAUUGACAGAUUGGAUUAGCUCUUUCUCGAUACUGUGGGUGGUGGUGCAUGGGCCGUUUCGUAGUUGUGUUGAGGCGAUUUGUCUGGUUGUUUAUUCCGACAACGAAACGAGACUCUGGCAGGCUAAAAUAGUCUACGCGGCCCGUCGGUGCGGUCGUGGUCCAGAACUUCUUAGAGGGACCAAGUGGCGUACAGCCACACGAAGAUUGAGCAAUAACAGGGUUGUGAUGCCCUUAGAUGUCCUCGGGUCUGCAACGCGCGCCACACUGAGCGGAAUCAGCGUGUUGCCUGCCCUUCGCCGACAGGCGUCGUUGGUAACCCGCUGACUGACCCGCUCGUGAUGGGGAUUGGGGAUUGCGAACUAUUUCCCAUGAACGAGGAAUUCCCAGUAAGCACGGGUCACAAGCUCGUGUUGAUUGUAAGUCCCUGGCCCUUUGUUACAACACCGCCGUCGCGGUACUACCGAUUGGAUGGCUUAGUGAGGUCUCGGAUCGGCCCCGCCGGUAGUCUUCCGGCUCUGGCGCGCGUGGCCGAGAAGACGAUCAAACUUGACUAUCUAGAGGAAGUAAAAGUCUCGUACAAGGUUUUCCGUAGGUGAACCUGCGGAAG
rnacentral:rRNA from 1 species